UACGAAGGGGGCUAGCGUUGCUCGGAAUCACUGGGCGUAAAGGGUGCGUAGGCGGGUCUUUAAGUCAGGGGUGAAAUCCUGGAGCUCAACUCCAGAACUGCCUUUGAUACUGAAGAUCUUGAGUUCGGGAGAGGUGAGUGGAACUGCGAGUGUAGAGGUGAAAUUCGUAGAUAUUCGGAGGAACACCAGUGGCGAAGGCGGCUCACUGGUCCGGUACUGACGCUGAGGUGCGAAAGCGUGGGGAGCAAACAGG
rnacentral:rRNA from 1 species